AUUGAACGCUGGCGGCGUGCUUAACACAUGCAAGUCGUGCGGUAACAGGCGUAGCAAUACGUGCUGACGAGCGGCGAACGGGUGCGUAAUACAUGGGAAUCUGCCCUAUGGUGGGGAAUAACCCGGCGAAAGCCGGGCUAAUGCCGCAUAAGAUCUUCGGAUGAAAGCGGGGGAUCGUAAGACCUCGCGCCGAUGGAUGAGCCCAUGUCGGAUUAGCAGUUGGUGAGGUAACGGCUCACCAAGGCGACGAUCCGUAGCUGGUCUGAGAGGACGGCCAGCCACACUGGGACUGAGACACGGCCCAGACUCCUACGGGAGGCAGCAGUGGGGAAUAUUGGACAAUGGGCGAAAGCCUGAUCCAGCGACGCCGCGUG
rnacentral:rRNA from 1 species